rnacentral:rRNA from 1 species
GAUGAACGCUGGCGGCGUGCCUAAUACAUGCAAGUCGAGCGAACGGACGAGAAGCUUGCUUCUCUGAUGUUAGCGGCGGACGGGUGAGUAACACGUGGAUAACCUACCUAUAAGACUGGGAUAACUUCGGGAAACCGGAGCUAAUACCGGAUAAUAUUUUGAACCGCAUGGUUCAAAAGUGAAAGACGGUCUUGCUGCCACUUAUAGAUGGAUCCGCGCUGCAUUAGCUAGUUGGUAAGGUAACGGCUUACCAAGGCAACGAUGCAUAGCCGACCUGAGAGGGUGAUCGGCCACACUGGAACUGAGACACGGUCCAGACUCCUACGGGAGGCAGCUGUAGGGAAUCUUCCGCAAUGGGCGAAAGCCUGACGGAGCAACGCCGCGUGAGUGAUGAAGGUCUUCGGAUCGUAAAACUCUGUUAUUAGGGAAGAACAUAUGUGUAAGUAACUGUGCACAUCUUGACGGUACCUAAUCAGAAAGCCACGGCUAACUACGUG